rnacentral:rRNA from 1 species
AGAGUUUGAUCAUGGCUCAGAACGAACGCUGGCGGCGUGCCUAACACAUGCAAGUCGCACGCAGUUAAGGGGGCAACUCCUUGAUUGAGUGGCGCACGGGUAAGUAACACGUAGGUAACCUGCCCUUCACUGGGGAAUAACCUGUCGAAAGACGGGCUAAUUCCGCAUACGUCCAAGACUGCUCCGGCAGAUUUGGGGAAAGGCGGCCCGCAAGGGCUGUCGGUGAUGGAUGGGCCUGCGUACCAUUAGCUAGUUGGUAGGGUAAUGGCCUACCAAGGCUACGAUGGUUAGCUGGCCUGAGAGGAUGAUCAGCCACACUGGAACUGAGACACGGUCCAGACUCCUACGGGAGGCAGCAGUGGGGAAUUUUGCGCAAUGGGGGAAACCCUGACGCAGCAACGCCGCGUGAGUGAUGAAGGCCCUUGGGUCGUAAAGCUCUGACAGAGGGAAAGAAAUGCAGGGGAGCUAAAUAUCUCCCUUGCUUGACGGUACCCUCAAAGGAAGCACCGGCUAACUCCGU